rnacentral:rRNA from 1 species
AACGAACGCUGGCGGCAUGCCUAACACAUGCAAGUCGAGCGGGAAAGUUCCCUUCGGGGGGCGAGUACAGCGGCGAACGGGUGAGUAACACGUAGGUAACCUACCCUGGAGACUGGGAUAACUUGCCGAAAGGCGGGCUAAUACCAGAUAAGACCACGGGGACGUCAGGCCCCCGCGGCAAAAGGUGGCCUCUGCUUGCAUGCUACUACUCCGGGAUGGGCCUGCGCGCCAUUAGCUAGNGGUGAGGUAACGGCUCACCAAGGCAGAGAUGGCUAGCUGGUCUGAGAGGACGGCCAGCCACACUGGGACUGAGACACGGCCCAGACUCCUACGGAGGCAGCAGUGGGAAUAUUGCGCAAUGGGCGAAAGCCUGACGCAGCGACGCCGCGUGGGUG